AGCUCCUCGGGGCUGGGGAGGACCAGGAGGGGAAGGAGGGAGCCGUCGUCGUGCAGCGGUCGCUUCCGCGCGUGUUUCGGGGCGCCUGGUGCCGCGCUGCUCCGGCAUGGCUGCGGGCUGCCUGCCGGGAAAGCCGCGUGUGGGCUGCGCGGAGGGACGCGGGACGGUUAUAGGAGGCGUUGUGAUGCUCCCGAGAGAUGAGAUGGGCGCUCUGGGCUCAGCCCGGUGUCCCGCCGCGCUUUGGCUGUGGCAGAGGCUCGCUGUGUAGGGGUGCCGUGGUAUUAGGCUGCUCAGACGGAACCCAAGUGAGGAAAGCGGUUGUUUUGCUCGAUUUCCCCCAGCACGGCACUUAUUUCCUUGCCAAAAAUAGCUGUGGUCGGUGCUAACGGAGCUGUGUUGCUGUAUCCCCAGGGAUCAAAUGGGGCACCGAGUCCUUCGUUAACACCUGAACUUUGUCCCAAGGAGGUUGUGGAUGCCCCAUCCCUGCAGGCAUUCAAGGCCAGGCUGGAUGUGGCUCUGGGCAGCCUGGUCUGCUGGUUGGCGACCCUGCACAUAGCAGGGGGUUGGAACUGGAUGAGCAUUGUGGUCCUUUUCAACCUAGGCUAUUCUAUGAUCCUUCCUUCCCUUGUCCCAGAACUCCUUGUUUUUACUUCCUUUCUGUUAACCUUUCAGCUGGAUGCUAACAACUCCCACGCCUGUGGUGGGAAGGAAGGAGCGCUUCCUUGCCUCUUGGAGGUGGGCAGCGUGCUCUGAAUGGAGCCUUGCUGCUCAGGGACAGAUGUGGCUUUGGGGCGUCUCACCGGUGUAAGAACAGAAGGGUUCAAGUGGCUGCUUUCCUACAAUUUCCAUGUGCUUUUAAGCCACAGGUGGGCAGAACGGACCUGUGCUGUUGCAGUGGGAAGGCAGGAAGGUGAAAAAAGUCGUGUUGUCACAGUGGUGGCUGACUUGCUUUUAAAGCUAGGCAGCAAUGGCAGGUGAAGACUGUGUAAGAAAACGCCCGUCUGGCUCCACUACAACCUACAAGAGCCCUGAGAAUGAAGAAAUGCAGAGGAGACCUGAUGGUGACAGAUCCUUUCAAAACUCCAGCAAUGGCCGCGUUGAUGUGGACCAUGUGAUAACAAGGAAGAUGCAGCUAAUAGCAGAAGCUGAGGUAAAUAUACUCUAAUGCUUCUUUGUGGGGAGGAGCAGGAUAAUUG